CCUACGGGCGGCAGCAGUGAGGAAUAUUGGUCAAUGGACGCAAGUCUGAACCAGCCAUGCCGCGUGCAGGAAGACGGCUCCAUGAGUUGUAAACUUCUUUUGUACGAGGGUAAACUCAGAUACGCGUAUCUGUCUGAAGGUAUUUGAAGAAUAAGGAUCGGCUAACUCCGUGCCAGCAGCCGCGGUAAUACGGAGGAUUCAAGCGUUAUCCGGAUUUAUUGGGUUUAAAGGGUGCGUAGGCGGUCGGAUAAGUUAGCGGUGAAAUCCCGGGGCUCAACUCCGGGAUUGCGUCUGAUACUGUUCGGCUAGAGAGUAGUUGCGGUAGGCGGAAUGUGUGGUGUAGCGGUGAAAUGCUUAGAGAUCAUACAGAACGCCGAUUGCGAAGGCAGCAUACCAAG
rnacentral:rRNA from 1 species